rnacentral:rRNA from 1 species
AUACGUAGGGGGCAAGCGUUAUCCGGAUUUACUGGGUGUAAAGGGAGCGUAGACGGCAAAGCAAGUCUGAAGUGAAAGCCCCGGGCUCAACCCGGGAAUUGCUUUGGAAACUGUUUAGCUAGAGUGCAGGAGAGGUAAGCGGAAUUCCUAGUGUAGCGGUGAAAUGCGUAGAUAUUAGGAGGAACACCGGCGGCGAAGGCGGCUUACCGGACUGUAACUGACGUUGAGGCUCGAAAGCGUGGGGAGCAAACAGGAUUAGAUACCCUGGUAGUCCACGCCGUAAACGAUGAUUACUAGGUGUUGGUUGUCAUAGACAAUCGGUGCCGCAGCAAACGCAAUAAGUAAUCCACCUGGGGAGUACGUUCGCAAGAAUGAAACUCAAAGGAAUUGACGGGG